rnacentral:rRNA from 1 species
GACGUCAAGUCAUCAUGGCCCUUACGACCAGGGCUACACACGUGCUACAAUGGCGCAUACAAAGAGAAGCGACCUCGUGAGAGCAAGCGGACCUCAUAAAGUGCGUCGUAGUCCGGAUUGGAGUCUGCAACUCGACUCCAUGAAGUCGGAAUCGCUAGUAAUCGUGGAUCAGAAUGCCACGGUGAAUACGUUCCCGGGCCUUGUACACACCGCCCGUCACACCAUGGGAGUGGGUUGCAAAAGAAGUAGGUAGCUUAACCUUCGGGGGGGCGCUUACCACUUUGUGAUUCAUGACUGGGGUGAAGUCGUAACAAGGUAACCGUAGGGGAACCUGCGGUUGGAUCACCUCCUUACCUUAAAGAAGC